GUGCUCGCUUUGGCAGCACAUGUACUAAAACUGGAAGGGAAGAUUAGCACAGCCCCUGUGCAAAGAUGACACGCACAUUGGAGAAGGCAUUCCAUAUUUUU
ensembl:snRNA Gm25811 predicted gene, 25811